UACGUAGGGUGCGAGCGUUGUCCGGAAUUCUUGGGCGUAAAGAGCUCGUAGGCGGUUUGUCGCGUCGGCCGUGAAAACUUGGGGCUUAACUCCAAGCUUGCGGUCGAUACGGGCAGACUUGAGUUCGGCAGGGGAGCGGGGAAUUCCUGGUGUAGCGGUGAAAUGCGCAGAUAUCAGGAGGAACACCAGUGGCGAAGGCGCCGCUCUGGGCCGAGACUGACGCUGAGGAGCGAAAGCGUGGGUAGCAAACAGG
rnacentral:rRNA from 1 species